rnacentral:rRNA from 1 species
GACGAACGCUGGCGGCGUGCUUAACACAUGCAAGUCGAACGGAAAGGCCCUGCUUUUGUGGGGUGCUCGAGUGGCGAACGGGUGAGUAACACGUGAGUAACCUGCCCUUGACUUUGGGAUAACUUCAGGAAACUGGGGCUAAUACCGGAUAGGAGCUCCUGCUGCAUGGUGGGGGUUGGAAAGUUUCGGCGGUUGGGGAUGGACUCGCGGCUUAUCAGCUUGUUGGUGGGGUAGUGGCUUACCAAGGCUUUGACGGGUAGCCGGCCUGAGAGGGUGACCGGCCACAUUGGGACUGAGAUACGGCCCAGACUCCUACGGGAGGCAGCAGUGGGGAAUAUUGCACAAUGGGCGGAAGCCUGAUGCAGCAACGCCGCGUGCGGGAUGACGGCCUUUGGGUUGUAACCGCUUUCGCCUGUGACGAAGCGUGAGUGACGGUAAUGGGUAAAGAAGCACCGGCUAACUACGUG